ACAAGAUGCAUUUAGAGGAGAGUUUAUGAAAUGCCCGGGGAGAUGGGCACCCUCAAGCCGUGUGCUCUCCAGGGCUCUGUGGACAGCAUUGUGACUGGAGACUGCAAAUCUUCAGGAACCAUUUCUCUCUCAUGGGCCAGGAGAGAAACGUUCCAGAGACAGAGCUGACACGGAGAGGGGAAGGAAAAGGAAGAGGGGAGGAAAGGCGAACAAAGGGAAGAAAGAAAAGACCUGAGGAAAAGAAGGAGAGGAGAUGUUUCCAGCCCCCUUUCCGCAGCCCUUCCAGGUCUGUCCAUGCCCAGGGCCGUCCUCAACAGAGAGCGCGGAAUACUCAAAGCACAUAGGAGCACUAAGUCAUCCUUGCUGAGUGUGCUGAAUCAUCUUCAGGCUACUGGGAACAUUGAUUAAGACCGGGCUGAAUCACUCGACUACUAUUUCUACCAAAGGAGCAUUAGUUCUGUAUGACCGAUUACCUCAGAGAACUUCUCUGCAGAAAAUAUUGAUCGGAAAGGCUGCUGGGAAGCCCUCAGCCCCAACUGCCACCCGCUGUUCAGCGCAGACCAUCCAGGGAAAGAAACUGCAUCCUUCGAGAGACCAGAGAUCUGCAAUUACCUGUAGGAGAAGUCUUCAUUGAUGCCCUUAAAAGCCACUGUCAUGUGCAAAGUCUUUGGAUGUUUUUAAGGUUCAAAACCAAUGGUAGCAUUUGGUAAAUUUGUUGACUUUGGAGUCAGAAAG
rnacentral:lncRNA from 1 species